AUUGAACGCAGGCGGAAUGCUUUACACAUGCAAGUCGAACGGCAGCACGGACUUCGGUCUGGUGGCGAGUGGCGAACGGGUGAGUAAUGUAUCGGAACGUGCCCAGUCGUGGGGGAUAACGUAGUGAAAAUUACGCUAAUACCGCAUACGAUCUAUGGAUGAAAGCGGGGGAUCGCAAGACCUCGCGCGAUUGGAGCGGCCGAUAUCAGAUUAGGUAGUUGGUGGGGUAAAGGCCCACCAAGCCAACGAUCUGUAGAUGGUCUGAGAGGACGACCAGCCACACUGGAACUGAGACACGGUCCAGACUCCUACGGGAGGCAGCAGUGGGGAAUUUUGGACAAUGGGCGAAAGCCUGAUCCAGCCAUUCCGCGUGCAGGAUGAAGGCCCUCGGGUUGUAAACUGCUUUUGUACAGAACGAAAAGGUUUCUACUAAUACUAGGAGCUCAUGACGGUACUGUAAGAAUAAGCACCGGCUAACUACGUGCCAGCCGCCGCGGUAA
rnacentral:rRNA from 1 species